rnacentral:rRNA from 1 species
AGCAGCCGCGGUAAUUCCAGCUCCAAUAGCGUAUAUUAAAGUUGUUGCAGUUAAAAAGACUCGUAGUUGAAUUUCGGGAUCAAAGGAUCGGUCAUGCCUUGGUAUGUACUGGUUUUAUUGGUUCUCACCUUCUAAAGAACCAUAAUGUCAUUCAUUUGAUGUUAUGGGAAUUAGGACUGUUACCUUGAAAAAUUAGAGUGUUUAAAGCAGGCUUACGCUUGAAUACAUUAGCAUGGAAUAAUGGAAUAGGACAUCAGAUUCUAUUUUGUUGGUUUCUAGGAUCGAUGUAAUGAUUAAUAGGGAUAGUUGGGGCAUUAGUAUUCAAUUGUCAGAGGUGAAAUUCUUGGAUUUAUUGAAGACUAACUACUGCGAAAGCA